GAUGAAGAACGCAGCGAAAUGCGAUAAGUAAUGUGAAUUGCAGAAUUCAGUGAAUCAUCGAAUCUUUGAACGCACAUUGCGCCCGCCAGUAUUCUGGCGGGCAUGCCUGUUCGAGCGUCAUUUCAACCAUCAAGCCCCCGGGCUUGUGUUGGGGACCUGCGGCUGCCGCAGGCCCUGAAAACCAGUGGCGGGCUCGCUAGUCACUCCGAGCGUAGUAGUUACAUCUCGCUCAGGGCGUGCUGCGGGUUCCGGCCGUUAAAAGCCUUUUACCCCAAGGUUGACCUCGGAUCAGGUAGGAAGACCCGCUGAACUUAAGAAUAUCAAUAAGCGGAGGA
rnacentral:misc_RNA from 1 species